AUUGCAGUUCUCAGCUAUAAACCAGUGAGCCAGAGGCCUGGACCCUCCCACCUGCCUCUGCGAUUUCAAAUCCCUCAGGCUGGUUUCGUCAUCCACCAAAGAGAAAAGUAACAGUGGAAAGUGAAUCGUCUCUACCUGUGGGAAACCUGAAGCAUCUAAACCCAGACACGAAAUAACCUGCUCAGCAAAGCCACACUUGAUGAUUAAGAAGCCUCUUUACUCACGGCUCCCUCUCCAACCCAGAGGCUCCCAGGACACAGCUUGGUUCUGCUCAGGUUUCCUGCAGCACUCAGAGCAGCAUCCCUCCCUCCUUCCUGUGAGACCGCCAUGACCUCCUUGUGUCUACCUGAGGCAUAGCUGUGACAGUUGGCACUUGGAACUUCCACGAGGUGAAGAUGGAUCUGGUUCAUGAGGCUUGUUUUCAAUUCUUUGUGAACCACAAGCCCUCACACUGCAAGAUUGUCAUGACAACCUGUCAGGAUGGCAGCCAGGAGGAUUCCAGAGACAGGAAACACAGGCUCCACCACUUCCCGCCAUCCCCCAACCACCACCACAUUCUAUAGCACCUUUGCAACUGGAGUACAAUGUCCUCGAGAAUGUCACAACAAACUGAAAACUAUCAGACAUCCAAAUGGACUUCGAAUUACUCUGAAUCUGACAGCAGUGCCCAUUGGACUUGCAUGAUGCCUAACUGCUAUUUAGUUCAGUGACUGUGACUAGCAUGCCUGGAAAGAAUGAGAAUAUUCCAGAAACAUUUUGCUUUUCCAUUUGGCCACCAGACUAUUCAAACAAUACACCCCAAGAAAUUGGAAUUCCAUAAGAAUUUCACGCUGGGAAAAGAAAAAGACUGAAGACUGGGCCAGUCUGAAGCGGAAUUUGUCACCUCAAAAGAGACUUACAACUUGUCAGACCAUCUUGUAGAAACUACUGGAGUCCAGACAAUGAUGAGCUGUGGACAUCAAGGGGCCAUACGUUGUCUGUGCACAUCUCUAGCCCUCUGCUUAAACGUAAACCUCAUCCCAGGGUCUUGAAGAUGAUGUGUGGGGAUAUCAUCGAAUUUCUUUGUUCCUUUUCUCAAGGUGGCCCCACUGAGUAAAUGUUUUUCCGCUUUUUGCUAUUGUUUAACUGGGUUGGUGAAGACGAGUAAAGGAACCUGGCUUAUGGUG